GGGGCGGGAGCCGUGAGGGAUGAGGGAUUAGAGAUAAGGAAUUAAAGAUAAGGGAUGCGGGAGCGCGGCCGGUAUUAGCCCUUGGGGAAGCUGUAGGAGCUGUCGGCCCGAGCCACGGCUGAGCCUGCCGCACGGGAGGACACGGCAGCGCGGCGCUGCUCCUGCUCGCCCUGGCGGCCUCGCUCACUUCCUCCAUCCAUCCAUCCGUCCGUCCGUCCAUCCCACUCUGUCCUGCACCCGCCGAGCGGGGCCUUCCCUGCCUGCCCGUCCGUCCGUCCGGCUGUCCUGCCCCGUCACGCAGCUCCACCGAGCAGGGGCUUUAGGCCCGGCAAGCGCCGUGCCUGCGGCGGCGUGUGGUGACAGUUGCUUGGUUAAAUAAGAUUUCUUAAAGAUAACAUUCUUUAAUCUCCAAAGAUGACAGCUGUUGCAGUGCUAGAGGAGGUGCUGGUGUCCAUUGAGAAUGAGCUGCAAGCAGUGGAGAUGCAGAUACAGGAGCUUGUGGAUAAGCAGCAGGAACUCCUUCAAAAGAAGAUGAGAGUGAAGAAUCUGAUAAAACAGUCCUCAGGAGACUUGGAGGCAGGUGGAAGUAAAGACACUGAAACCUCAGCUGAGGAAUGGAACAAAAAAGAUUUUCCUUGGUAUGAGAAGAUAAAAACUGCACUGCAGAGCAAAUUUAAACUCCAGAAGUUUAGAUCACUGCAACUUGAAACAGUAAAUGCUGCAAUGGCAGGGAAGGAUAUAUUUCUUGUCAUGCCUACUGGUGGUGGGAAGAGCCUUUGUUACCAGUUACCAGCUGUCUGUUCUGAUGGUUUCACACUGGUGAUAUGUCCUUUGAUCUCUCUCAUGGAAGAUCAGCUCAUGGUGUUGGAACAGCUUGGUAUCUCUGCAGCUUUAUUAAAUGCCUCAAGCAGCAAGGAACACGUGAAGUGGGUGCACAGUGAAAUGCUGAAGAGGAAUUCCCAGCUGAAGCUCAUUUAUGUGACCCCAGAGAAGAUUGCAAAGAGCAAAAUGUUCAUGUCCAAGCUGGAGAAGGCUUACCAGGCUGGGUGCCUGGCUCGCAUCGCUGUGGAUGAGGUGCACUGCUGCAGUCAGUGGGGCCAUGACUUCAGGCCUGAUUACAAGUCUCUUGGUAUCCUGAAAAGACAGUUUCCCAAUACUCCCUUGAUUGGAUUGACAGCAACAGCUACCAAUCAUGUUUUAAAGGAUGCUCAGAACAUUUUGCACGUUCAGAAGUGCAUUACCUUUACUGCUUCCUUCAACAGGCCCAACCUUUACUAUGAGGUUCGGCAUAAGCCUUCAAAUAAUGAAGAUUUCAUUGAGGACAUAGUUAAGACCAUUAAUGGAAGAUACAAAGGACUGUCAGGAAUUGUUUACUGCUUUUCUCAGAAGGAUUCUGAGCAAGUUACUGUGAGUUUGCAGAAACUGGGAAUCAAGGCAGGGACUUACCAUGCAAACAUGGAUGCUAAAUAUAAAACCAAGGUUCAUAAAGGAUGGGCAACAAAUCAAAUCCAGGUUGUAGUGGCAACUGUUGCCUUUGGCAUGGGAAUUGAUAAACCUGAUGUGAGGUUUGUAAUUCAUCACUCUAUGAGCAAGUCCAUGGAAAACUACUACCAAGAGAGUGGACGUGCAGGUAGAGAUGACCAAAAAGCUGACUGCAUUUUGUAUUAUGGGUUUGGAGAUAUAUUCAGAAUUAGCUCAAUGGUGGUGAUGGAAAAUGUUGGCCAAGAGAAGCUGUAUGACAUGGUAUCUUAUUGCCAAAAUAUGAACAAGUGUCGCCGGGUGCUCAUAGCCCACCACUUUGAUGAAGUGUGGGAUUCUGCAAACUGCAACAGAAUGUGUGAUAACUGCUGCAGAGAGAAUGCGUGUGAGAAGAUGGAUAUAACAGGAUACUGCAGGGAUCUAAUAAAGAUCCUUGAGCAAGCUGACAGCAUGAGUGAGAAACUCACCCCUCUGAAAUUAAUUGAUGCCUGGUCUGGGAAAGGUGUGUCCAAAUUCAGGGUGCCUGAAGUUACUCCACCCAAGCACCCUCGAGAGGAGCUGGAGAGAAUUAUUGCCCAUUUACUGCUGCAGCAGUAUCUGAAGGAGGAUUUCAGCUUCACAGCCUUUGCCACAAUAUCCUACCUGAAGGUGGGACCCAAAGCCCGGCUGCUGAAGAAUGAGGGGCACGUCAUCACCAUAGAGGGGAUAACAAACAGCAAAAGGGUUUCCAAGGUCAAACCAUCUCAAUCUUCAAAUUCAAAAGGAAGCAGAGAAGAUGCCCAGGCUGGAUCAAAGACUGUCCAGGAUUCAGUGGUGAAGAAAUCACAGGAACAUAAACGGGCCAGCUGUGGCCCUAACUUAAAAGCAAAGAAGCCUAAGCUUCAGGCAGGUGCCAAUGACCAACCAGUAGUUAUUGACUGAGUGUCACAGACUGCAUUGAGGAUCUAAUCAUGGUUGCUGCUCCAUGGACAAUGCAGUGUCUGUUGCUGAGCAGGCACUGAACACAGAAACAAAAUGAUCCUGAGGUGUGGAAAUGCACAUGGCAGUUAUGAACUCCAGAAUCACCCUCCACAUUUGGGUCCUGACUUCCCUCAGUGAACAUGAGCACUGUGACAGCUCUGUGUCCCAGAUGGAAAGUACUGGAAAUAGUUGCUUCUUUUCCAGGAGCAAAUGUCAAGAUUAAUAAGGAAAAGUCAAAGAAGUCUGCUGCAGCUGGAUAAAUUCUUGCUGGAACUUGGUUGCUCUUCAACAUCAAAUUCCUCGAGUGUUUUGGAGACCUGUAGGAGAAAGAGAAGUAUUUAAAAAUAUGGAUCAUUUAUCCAUCUCCUAAAGGUUUUGACACAAGGUGCUGUGUUCAUUUGUAGUAAAAGAAGUGACAACAUAAAGCCCAUAUUGUCUGAAAAUGUGUUCUCAUGUAACUGCUAAAGGUUUCUUCUUCCAUACAGAAUCUUUUCACACCUGUUCCUGGCUGAAGAGUCAAAGUGUUAAUCCUAAAGACACAGAUUAGGCAAAAAUGGAGAACCCUGGCAGUUGCUCUAACUGCUACAAUGUUUUAUUCCAUAAAGAAGUCUAUUAUAAGAGUUGUUAACACUGCUUUUUCAUUUAUGUGAUGCAGUGAAAACCCUGUUUUUUCUCUAACUUUAAUAAAAUAACUUAUCCAGAGCCACUACCUGAUAUUUCAGAGACCUGGGGGAAAUGGACAACGUCAAAUAGAAAACAAACACAAACAAAACAAAAA